CAAGGAAACCGAAUCUCCCUCUGCAAUAGACAUCCCCCAGCCUAAGCGUCAAACACCAAAGAAAAACGGAGAUGUUAUUCACUACCACGGAACAUCAGUGAAAGAUGCAAGAGAGUCUUUCAGGGAUAUUUCUUCUGGAAAUCCACGGUUUGUACAGCGAAGGUCUGAUUUUGGUCCACAUUGCAAAUAUCAUACUAAGUGAACUGUCACUUAUGGAAUCGACCCAACCUUUUCUGCUGGAAGUGUCAUAGCGGUACCCCGCAGCCGAUGGAAGGACGCCGUCCAGCCUCCAACAGAUCGACCUCCAAUUGGAAGACGCCCUGACACUCACUUAAGACCGCCCACGAUGGGGCAGUCAGAGGAUCAUCUUGGCUCAACGCUGCUAUGGAAAACAAUGAUGGAGGGCCCAGACGCUUCCAAAUUGAGUACAGUCGUGUAUGUCCUUCCAUAUCCAAAAGCAUCCUUCUACAAGAAACCAGAAAAGAAGGGUCUUGCGAGCCCAUCUAAGAACAAAAGACCGAUGGCAU